rnacentral:rRNA from 1 species
GAGUUUGAUCAUGGCUCAGGAUGAACGCUGGCGGCGUGCCUAACACAUGCAAGUCGAACGGGCGCGGCGUGCGGCAGGGGCCUCGGCCCCUGCGGCGCCGCGCGAGUGGCGGACGGGUGAGUAACGCGUGGGGCAACCUGCCCUGUACUGGGGGAUAACACCUGGAAACAGGUGCUAAUACCGCAUAAGCGCGCUGUGCCGCAUGGCGCGGCGCGGAAAACCCCGGUGGUACAGGAUGGGCCCGCGUCUGAUUAGCUGGUUGGCAGGGUAACGGCCUACCAAGGCGACGAUCAGUAGCCGGCCUGAGAGGGUGGACGGCCACACUGGGACUGAGACACGGCCCAGACUCCUACGGGAGGCAGCAGUGGGGGAUAUUGCACAAUGGGGGGAACCCUGAUGCAGCGACGCC